UAUAGAAAGAAUAUAGAAUACAGAAAUCUGCAACAACAAGGAGAAAAAUCCCCGGAUGUCAAAAGACUGUUUUAACUUUCUGCAGGAGAAAGUAAUCCUGAGGCAAUAACUCAGACCACUGACUGAAUAGACAAAUGGACUAUCCCAGAUCAUGUGUGAAAACAGAACUCUGACCUACAGCCUCUACUGAAAGCAGCCCAGGAAGUCAAACCACUUACAUAGCAAUCAUCCCAGAAUAGUCAGGACUUGAUCAGGGACUGCAAGCUUCCCUAUUUUUUAUUCCCAGCUUUGGACUAGGGACUAAUAAGAGAAAGCUGAAUAUGCUCCCCAAACCAAUCAAUCACCUAAGAUUCCCCACUUCUAGUUAGCAUGCCUCUAGCUUUUUCAUGCCAACAACCUCCAAUCAGAACAUAAUUGAUGCUUUCCCUUUUUCUAUCAUAGUUUUUCCACUUCCCUGCAUAUCUCUGAGUCUGCCAAAAUCAAGUGAUGUUGGUUGACUUCCUUACUGUAGCAAGUUCUAAAUAAACAGCCUUUGUUUGUUUUCA
rnacentral:lncRNA from 10 species